UAUAUCCUUAUCAAAAUGUCUUAAUGUUCAUUUUCAAAUUGUAACUUGUUUCAGUAUACUGUCCUUGUUUUUUUUUUUCUUAAUUUUUUUUAACAGCACAUGUAAGUGUGUCAUGCUCUGUUCAGCUGAUGAUACUUAUCUCCUAUUCGCCACUAAGCUGAUGCUGUCACACCCCACAGACUCAUCAUCUGCAAAGAUCAACUGCCACUCAUUUUUACAAAAAUAUCCAUUUUGAUGAAUGUGAAGACAUCACAGGCAACUGCAGAAAGAUUUAAUUGGAACUUUGCCUGUGUUUCUCUUUGUACUUGUGUGUCUAUUUGUUCUAUUAUAUUUAAUUUACUUAUUUACAUUUAAAUGUCAAGUGUAAUUUUUAUGCUUUCAUGUAAUGACUUUUUAGAGCAUUGUCAUUUUUGCUAUAAUUUCCCAUGUCAAUAAAAAACAUAAUUUACAUAAA